rnacentral:rRNA from 1 species
UACGGAGGGUGCAAGCGUUAUCCGGAUUUACUGGGUUUAAAGGGUGCGUAGGUGGGUUGGUAAGUCAGUGGUGAAAUCUUCGAGCUUAACUCGGAAACUGCCAUUGAUACUAUUAAUCUUGAAUUAUCUGGAGGUAAGCGGAAUAUGUCAUGUAGCGGUGAAAUGCUUAGAUAUGACAUAGAACACCCAUUGCGAAGGCAGCUUACUACGGAUACAUUGACACUGAGGCACGAAAGCGUGGGGAUCAAACAGG